ensembl:lncRNA novel transcript
GGAAACUGGAAUUCAAUUUGCUUGGUGAGAAGCCCUCUAGCAGGGGCUCUGGCCUUUCAAGAGUCUCUGUUUCCCCCUUUUCUUCCUUUUCACCCAAUAAAACCCUGUCUUACUCAUCAUUCAAAUUGUCUGCGAGCCUGAAUUUUCAUAGCCGUGGGAAAAAGAACGCCAUCUUUAGCCGAACUAAGGAAAAGUCCUGCAACAUUUUUAGCGCCCAACGUGGAGGUCGAGAAACGGCCGUCAAACUCCAAAUGGUGAUGCAACUGGAACCUCUGAUGAUGGCCCCUUCUGCCGGGAACCCUUAAAUAGGCCUCUGAUGGAGCCCUGACUGCCAUUUCCCCCAAACAGCACCACCUAUCAGCAGGAAUCAGUUAAGAUCAGUCCUCGUCUUAUCCUUCAUCUAAUGGCAGUUAGAUGUGCCUCUUUAGAGGAGGGAAUGAACUCUGUCCUUGUAAGAGUCCCUGUUUCCCCCUUUUCUUCCUUUUCACACAAUAAAACCCUGUCUUACUCACCAUUCAAAA